rnacentral:lncRNA from 1 species
AAGAUGUGGGAUCACUCUCUAACAAAGUUGACCUAAGUCUCUAAAAAACCAAAGAAAAAAUCGACUCCAAAGGAAGUAAGUUUUGGAAGAAAGGAAAGGCAACUCUUUUCGUACCUAUUAACAUAAGAAGCAAAAUUGUUUUAGAAUGCGUGGUAGAAUCAAAAAAAGUUAAAAAAAAAAUCUAAGGCUAGAAUCAAACAAAAUAAACUAACCAGCA